GACAGAGGGGGCAAGCGUUGCUCGGAAUCACUGGGCGUAAAGGGCGCGUAGGCGGUCAGCACAAGUCAGUUGUGAAAUCUCCGGGCUUAACCCGGAAAGGUCAACUGAUACUGUGCGACUAGAGUGCAGAAGGGGCAACUGGAAUUCUCGGUGUAGCGGUGAAAUGCGUAGAUAUCGCGGAGGAACACCGACGUCGGAGCGGA
rnacentral:rRNA from 1 species